UGGGGCAUGAACCUGGCAUACAAUGUAGAUUUCUGUGUGUGUUAAGCAACAGCUACAUUGUCUGCUGGGUUUCCAGCUGCCUGG
rfam:Chaetura pelagica isolate M959 contig3130, whole genome shotgun sequence.